UGGUGUCGAUGAUGAUAAUUGUGAAUCCCAGCUCAUUAUGAGACCUUUUUGUAAGGUCUGGGACUAGAAUCUUUUCCACAUUUGUCUGAGGCAUUUACCC